CUGGGAAACUGCCUGAUGGAGGGGGAUAACUACUGGAAACGGUAGCUAAUACCGCAUAACGUCGCAAGACCAAAGUGGGGGACCUUCGGGCCUCAUGCCAUCAGAUGUGCCCAGAUGGGAUUAGCUAGUAGGUGGGGUAACGGCUCACCUAGGCGACGAUCCCUAGCUGGUCUGAGAGGAUGACCAGCCACACUGGAACUGAGACACGGUCCAGACUCCUACGGGAGGCAGCAGUGGGGAAUAUUGCACAAUGGGCGCAAGCCUGAUGCAGCCAUGCCGCGUGUGUGAAGAAGGCCUUCGGGUUGUAAAGCACUUUCAGCGGGGAGGAAGGCGAUAAGAUUAAUAACCUUGUCGAUUGACGUUACCCGCAGAAGAAGCAC
rnacentral:rRNA from 1 species